GUGCUCGCUUUGGCAGCACAUAUACUAAAAUUGGAAUGAUACAGAGAAGAUUAGCAUGGGCCCUGCGCAAGGAUGACACACAAAUUCAUGAAACGUUCCAUAUUUUU
rnacentral:snRNA from 1 species